UACGUAGGGUGCGAGCGUUAAUCGGAAUUACUGGGCGUAAAGCGUGCGCAGGCGGUGAUGUAAGACAGGUGUGAAAUCCCCGGGCUUAACCUGGGAACUGCAUUUGUGACUGCAUCGCUGGAGUGCGGCAGAGGGGGAUGGAAUUCCGCGUGUAGCAGUGAAAUGCGUAGAUAUCGGGAAGAACACCAGUGGCGAAAGCGCUCUACUGGGCCAUAACUGACACUGAGGGACGAAAGCUAGGGGAGCGAAAGGG
rnacentral:rRNA from 1 species